AUGAAUAUGACACCCAAGUACACUUUCCGGGCUAGACAGACACUUCAGUUUUCUUUUUAUCUCGAUUGCCACAGAUAGUACCGUCGGAUAGCAGCUAACCCACAGAACGAGACAUCGGCUAAAUCCUUUGGCACGGAUUAUACAACAAAAUUAUAUAGAUUCCAGGCAAUGUGUGGAAACGAACACACGACCCUAAAAAAUAAAACUAGGCAAGAAAUAAAAAUAAAAUUUAAAAUGUCAUGGCGGUGCCAACACUAUUAUAUGGAUGUGAUACUGGGUGCCAGCACAAAGAAAUGUUAGUAGGAUACAAGAAGCGGAAAUGAGAUUUUAUCAAGGAGUUCAAGGAUGUACAUAAGCAGACAGGUUCAAAAAUGAAGAUAUAAGAAAAAAAUACAAAUAGAGGCAUUAAAUACAAAAGUAAUUGGGUAACGCAGGAAAUGGGCAGAACACUCGUCAAGGAAGACAAUACCAAAAAUAAUAGGAUUUGAGGUUUUCAUGGCGGUGAGUUUGAAGAUGGCUGUCUUCUGGGUUGUUGCACCGUGUGGUCCGAUAGAAGUUUACCGAUGUUUGAGAGGUCCUUGCUGCCUGCAUAAUCAGGACGAUGGCGGAGAUCUUCCAGAUCGUUUGAAAGCGCUUGGGAAAGAAUUCUACGAUACAAGUAACCAAGGUUCGGAAAAGUUUUACGCCAGGGAAGAAUUAUGUUUACUGUGGUAAUAUCACCGAUACUAACGCUUGGCUUGGAACACGUUUUUGAACAAGUGGCGAUGUGUGAUGGCGUGGCCAGUGUUUGACGGAAAGCGACUGUUUGAUACACGAGAAUGAACCUUGAAAGAACGCUGUGUUUGAACAGAAACUUUUGAAUAAGAAAGCGGAAGUUUCAUUCAUAAGGGCUGGAUGGAUCAACUACCAGCUGCUGCAGGUAACUACGUGCCUGCCCGACAACGAUUUUCGCAUUCUCUGUGAUAGUCAAUGUUGGAAAAGUAAUUACGACAAGAAGAUGGCUGUAUGCGGAGUUUUAUAGGCUGAGUCAACCCUGUCGGCUCUUGUCACCUGUGAGGUUAACGGGAGCGACCUCAAAGACCGGGUGAGGACCAACUGAACUAGCAGUGCCAGAUCGAUCCCAUUCUUUUUGCUGUGUCAGUGUGGCAUGGGAAGGGUGAUUGGAGUAUCUUGCCUGAUUCUUGCUAGCACAAGAGGACUGUCUCUCAGAAUGCAGUGAAAGCCUGCAUGAAAAGCGUGGUUUCUGGAACAGCUGCAGAUCUAACAAGUUCUUGAGCCAUCAACAGUUAAGGAGCACCAGUAGCACAUUUGUCUGGAACAUCCAGGUAAAUCUACCAUGGGCAAAGACAACAUACAACUGGGCCAUAGAAUCCAAAACCAGCACACCAGCAUCCUCUCCACAAAGUCAAGACAUACUGGAAAGGACAGUCAUGGAGGCUACUGAGAUCAAGCUACAGCCUAACAAUAUGAAGUUUGCUUUUGUGAUCUUUACUGUUGGUUCCCUUGUCAGCCCUGAUGAGGGCUGCUUUGUUCCUUCCUUGCAUGCCAGACCUAUAUUUCCCGUCGCUUAGUCUUUGACUUUAUGGUGGAUGAAGCACACCUCAAUUUUUAGGCAGUUUCUACCAGAAUGCAUGGUGCAGCAUCCCAGAAGACAGUCGUUUUCACUUACCACUCACCUCCUACACUGCUAGAUCUAUGAUGUAAAGGUUUCCAAAUCUGCCAAAAAUAAUCAUCCUGAAGAUGACGACUGCAGUGUGCCAAACCUUCAAAAUUUUGUUCAUGUUGUUCAUGCAACCUGUAGCUAUACAGUAAAACAGGCAUCUUGUUUGUCUUCUUCGUUUUGUAUAAUAUCCAAGUGGCUACAUUGUUUCACUAAAUUGUGAUUUUUUGCUGUCACUUGGAUACUGUAAAGUUUGCCUGGAGAUAUGCUUAGAGCAUCUUUAAUUAUCCUUCAGAUGAGGGCUGACAUUUCAAACAGAAUGUUUAUGUGCUACAUAUAAUAUUGAAUGAAUAUACAUUGUAAUUUUUCAUAAAAUACUAUGAAUAUUUUGAAAUGCAGUGAUAAUACUCCACUUCUGAACCUGUCAAAUGUAUAAACUGAAUGUGCUGUCAAACUGCAUUGUAUGAGUUAGGUUUCAUAUACCUGUAAGUGAAAUGUUCAGUAUGUAAAAGGAACCUUCAGUUGUUCAGUAGAACACAUUAUUAGAUUAUAGUAAUUAGGUCUUGCGUACAGGUUGAAUGCUUGUGUGUGGAUGCUGUCCUCUGUCAACCAGAUGUUGCACGUUUCAUUUCCAGCAGCUAUUAUUGUGUUUGAUACAGUUUUGUGUGGGAGGUGUUUAAUAAAAUGUGUCUGUAAUGUGUGAAAUGAAUUACAUCAGCUUUCACUUCAAGUGAAACUUCAGA